AAGAGACAAGCUGACUAAAGAGCAGAUCAUGUGUUGGUGGUGCAGACCUUACUCUGACUCAAAAUUGUUGCAUUUGAUCGUAUGCUGGAAGGGCAACGUAUUCCAAACCCCAAGUCUCAGUUGCAUUGUUAACAGUGGCAUGACUGUAUGCGUCACUCUGUAUGCCACUAUAGAGCAAGCAGUUUACACAUCAUUCACCAGUACAUGAUAAAAAUAAGGUGGAAUGAAGACGAGUGAUGAAAUGUUGUACUGGAUGAAGCAACAGGAUUCCUGCAACAGAAGACAUUGGAGACAAAAUGGAUCAAAAUGUCCGUAUAAUGUGAGAAGAAAAUGAGAGCCAGCACCCAGGCCUGAGGGGACCUGCCCCGUCGUGCCUCAGCCUGUUCAUGGUCCUACUGGUGGGCUCCUCACCCGCAGCUGGCGGCUGGGGUUUCCGUGGCUCUUGGUCAGGAGGCGCAGAGCGGUCAGCAUCAGCUACCCCAGGGGAGAUGUGCAGUACCAGGGGGAAUUCUUGGAGGCUCAUCAGCUGCCUUGGUCCAUCUUCUGCUAUAUAAAGCGGUAAAACUAAGUAAAGUCUGGCACUUCGCUGAAAACAGUAUCAGUAACAUAAAAUCUUUAGCUAAAUUAAGCUUUAUUAAUUGAUUGAUCGAUUUUCCGAUGCGGCGGAGGAAAUGUAAUUAAAACGUGGACAGAACACAAACUACUAUUCAACUACGAAAGGCUACUCGCGAAGAAUGUACCUCAGUUGUGAGCGAGCGAACACGCAGCGCAUCCUGCUGCUGCAUGGGAACCCAUAGGCAAGACGGUGGAAGUUGAGUACGUCUAAAAUUGGUUUUAAGGUCUUUCAACAUGACUAAUAACUUAUUGUAAGUUGAGUAUACGCGCAUAUUGACCGCUUUUUUCCUGCCUACCAGUGACAUUCUUGUAUUUCAGUCCUACGGAGAUGUUGGACAAGGCCAGGUUGCCCAACACCAUGGCACGCGAUUAACCGUGUCUGAUAAUGUGGGGAAUUGUGGCGUGAACUGUUCAGGAUAGGAACGCGGCGUGCCUGGAGGUUUUGUGGUGAACACAACGGGGCCUCACAUCCACCUGAGACUUUCCUGUGAGGUGACAGAGCGCUGGGCCAGGCUGCCCAGGGAGGUUGUGGAGCCUCCUCCUCUGGAGACAUCCAAAGCCCGCCUGGCCGCCAUCCCGCGCACUGCGCUCGGGGUGCUUGGUGGGUUGGACGGGGCGAUCUCCAGAGCUCCCUCCCCGCCCGGCCACGAGGCGACUCCGUGCCAGGUAAGGGCUCUGUGCGACUUCGAGGCUCGCUGUCGCGCAGCCCGGCGCCGAGCUCCCCGCGGCCGGGCAGGGGCAGGGGCAGGGGCAGGGGCAGGGG